AAAUUGCCUAUAGGAAAACAAAAAGUCUCUAAUCAACCACCUGAAUUUAAACAGAAUACGCUUUCAGGGAUUUGAGAGUGUCAGAGGAAUGUACUUUCAUGAAAAAUAGAGAAUCAACAAUUCAUACAUUAAUGCAUUGGUCAUAUUGACUUAUGUACGCCGAGGUUUUCUGAGGAACAAACUCGUCUAGUCUGUAUCCAUUGUAAGAGAUUUCACCUGAAAACUGUGGAAACAAAAAGGAAAACAAAAGAAAAGGAGGACCAAGCAACAAUGUUAACCUGCAACAACAAGAAGCAUAAACACACUUAAAACAUUGAUCAAGACUAGUGAUAAGAUGAUAACUUUUUUGAUUACUCACAGAGAUUACGCGCUUAGCAGUGUUCCACAGUGUUGGAAGUGCUUUGCCUUCAACAAUCUCGCACUCGGCGGCC